UUUACUGCACGCUGUGUUGAGGAGGGCUGCAGUUAUGACUCUGUUUUGUUUUUGCUCUUGUCUCUCUGGAUUCUGGAGAAACUAAUGAGAUGACACCAAAAACUGUGUCCGUAAAUUCUGUGCUAACCCCACUCCUCAGGGGGUAGAGUUAAAUCCCCUUCCUAUUGCUGUGGACAGCACCUAGUAAUGGCAUAUGACCUGUAAUGAAUAGAAUAUGGCAGAAGUGACUGUGACUUACGGACUAGGUCAUAAAAGGCAUUGCAGCUGCUUCCUCAUUCUCACUCUUGGAUCUCUUGCACUGUGAGGAGACAGCUACCACAUCAUGAGGAACUUACCCAGCACCAUAAAAACCUGUGAGGGAGGGAGCUCAGCCCCAUCAACUGCCAUGUGAGUGAACCAUUAGCGGUGGACCCUCACACCCUAGGAAAUCCUUUGGAUGACUUCACCCUGACAAGAAGCUUCAUGAGGCAUCCUGGGCCAGCACUACCCAGAUGAGACACUGUGAGAGUGGGAACUGGAAAAAGUGACAUCAGAGUUACCAUGUGAAAGAAGCCAGUUUGCAGAGGAAGACAGAAAGCCCUUCCUCAUCCUGCGAUCAUCUAAGGAACAGAGCAUAAUCAGCAAAACAAAAUACAAGAAAUACAAACAGGAAGCAGGGGACUAGAGAAGACCACACAUUGUGUGGCUGGACACCUUUGGGACUUGUCCUAGCUCGCUUUCCAGCACUGUCAUAAAGACCAUGGCCAACAGCAACCUGGGGGCACACGGGUUGAUUUGGUUUGCAUGUCCUGAUCACUUUCUGUCACCAAGGAAAGUCAGGGCAGAACCUCAAGCAGAGCAGGAACCUGGAGGCAGGAACUGAAGCAGAGACCGUAUAGGGACAUUGCUUUCUGGCUUGACUUCCCUAGCUUGCUCAGCUCCCUUUCUUUUACAGCCCAGGGAUGGAACUGCCCAUAGUGGACUGGGAUCUCCUACAUCGACCAUUAAACAAGAAACUGUCUCACAGA